rnacentral:rRNA from 1 species
AUUGAACGCUGGCGGCAGGCCUAACACAUGCAAGUCGAGCGGAUGAGUGGAGCUUGCUCCAUGAUUCAGCGGCGGACGGGUGAGUAAUGCCUAGGAAUCUGCCUGGUAGUGGGGGACAACGUUUCGAAAGGAACGCUAAUACCGCAUACGUCCUACGGGAGAAAGCAGGGGACCUUCGGGCCUUGCGCUAUCAGAUGAGCCUAGGUCGGAUUAGCUAGUAGGUGAGGUAAUGGCUCACCUAGGCGACGAUCCGUAACUGGUCUGAGAGGAUGAUCAGUCACACUGGAACUGAGACACGGUCCAGACUCCUACGGGAGGCAGCAGUGGGGAAUAUUGGACAAUGGGCGAAAGCCUGAUCCAGCCAUGCCGCGUGUGUGAGAAGGUNUUCGGAUUGUAAAGCACUUUCUAGCGAGGAGGAAGGAGUGUAGUUAAUAGCUGCUACUUUGUACGUUACCGACA